AAAAGAGAUUAAACAGUUGCUGUCGGAGUUGGAUGAAGAAAAGAAGAUCCGUCUACGAUUGCAGAUGGAAGUUAAUGACAUAAAGAAAGCUCUUCAAUCAAAGUGAAUACUUGAUAGGUGGAAUGUUGCAUUAUUCUUCAGUAAUGAGACUGAAAUUUAUGCCCCAGCCAAAAUAACUUUGUGCCAAAUGAUUUAAGAAUUGCCUCAACAUCCCUUUAUUUGAAGGAUUAGCACAACAGUUUUUGAUAGCACAACAAAAAUUCCAACAGCGAGGACAAAAUUUCCACCCAAAGCAGUGCUGUGCAGCACUAGUUGUGACUGAAAUUGAUCUUCUUGUGCUAAAGGCUCUCUACUUCAAGAUCCUAGGUGAAAUGAAAACUCAGGCAGUUUAGUCCAUAGUGGUACUAUUUUGAUGAUAUUUUUCCAUAAAUAAAAUGUAUUUCAGAUUAUCUGUUUACAAGCUUUAUGAUUUUGACUUUUGGUUUUUAAUUGUCUUUUGUCACAGAUUUUAAAAUGUUUAUACUGCAUAUAGCCAGGAAUGAAUGUUAACAUUGGGGCUGGAGGGAUUAUUUUUGCUUCAAGAAAGAACAGCCUACUUUUUGUUACGGUUUUAAGUUCUGUUAAAUAUGCAAUUUUAUGUCCCCCAAUCCCCUACAAUUUAAACUUGCGUUGUGUACAGUAAUGUAUUUACAAGAAAGAAACAAACCAACAGAAAUCCGGUCUUUGCAAUGA